AAGGACCAUCUAGAAUAGACUGUUACCAGCAACAAGUUCAAAAGCCAGGGUCUGUCAUGGUAUGGGGUUGUGUCAGUGCCCUUGGCAAAGGUAACUUACACUUCUGUGAUGGCACCAUUAAUGCAGAAAAAUGAACUCGCCUUGCCUUGAUCAGUGACUGGAGCAUUAAGCCAACAGGCAAUGCUGGGGAGAGCCAUAGAAGACCGUGCUGGCAGUACACAAUGGGUGGUAACCAGACAAUCGGUGAGAGAGAAUGCAAUGGCCUGCCAUGAGUCCAGACCUCAACCCAAUUGAACACUUGUGGGAUCAGCUUGGGCGUGCUGUACGUGUUAGAGUGGCCAACACAACCACGCUGGCUGACCUGCAACGACUCCUGGUUGAGGAAUGGAAUGCCAUCCCACAGCAACGUGUGACCAGGUUGGUGACCAGCAUGAGGAGGUGGUGCCAGGCUGUUGUGGCUACGUAUGGAUCUUCCACCCGCUCCUGAUGGUGUAUUAAAAUGAAUAAAGGGUAAAAUUGCCAAUAUGUCUUGUUUGUUCCUUGUUACUGAUCGAGAGUUCAAUCAUCUAAUCCACUGAACAACUCAAAACAAGAGUGAAUACCAACAGC
ensembl:lncRNA